AUACUUACCUGGCAGGGGAGACACCAUGAUCAAGAAAGUGGUUCAACCUCAGGAUGAGGAUCAGCCAUUGCAUUCCGGCUGUGCUGACACAUGUGAAUUCGCCAAAUGUGGGAAUCUUGACUGCAUAAUUUCUGUUAGUGGGUGACUGCGUUUGUGCUUUCCCCUG